rnacentral:tRNA from 1 species
UAUUUAUUAGUUUAAAAAAAACAUUAUAUUUUCAAUAUAAAAUUAUUUAAUAUAAAAUUUAUAAAUAA